CCAGCGAUUGUUUCAGUUAUUGCCUGUUGUUGCAAAAUAAACUUUUGUUAACCUUCUCCGUUUCCGCUCCUGGGUCUCUCUCUGCACCCGCCGUCACACAUUAUACAAUAUAGUAGAGCAUCACUUGUGUUGUUUAAGUGGAACAUUUCUCCUCUUAAUCUGGCCCCAGCUUGAGUCUCUCCUCUGGUGCAGCCAAGAACAGUUGAUAUUUGACCUCCUGCUCCUCUCUGCUGACACCAUGAGUUCUGCUGUAAACUUGGAUUUGUGGUUUGGUGUUCUUGUCUUGUCCUAUUCUAACUGAUGGUGACAAACUAACCACAGCGAUGAUUGUACGUUUUACGUCCACUGGUUUUCCUUUGACCUCUUUUUGGAAGAGAGCUGUCUCUGUGCCUGUCUCAGGUCUGCCACACCUGUCUCUGGUUCCUGGAUCAGCCACACCUGAACUUCAUCAGAUCGUCAGUGGAGCUGCAUAGCAACCCUCAGAGACCUCGUUCUGUGCCAUGUGACCACAGAGCUGUCUGUUGGUUUGGUACUCUUGUUGACUUAUUUGGGUUUUCUGCCAUUCAUUUUGCUGACUUUUCCCCUCUUCUAAGGACAGUUAGUGAGCUGUGAAGUGUGUUUUUUGUUCUGAGGCCAAUUGAUUUUUCUAUCCAGUUAGUGUGGCUUUUUUUUUUAUUUUGGCCUUGGAGACCCUGAAACCUUUUACUUCCACUUCUGUGACAUGAGUUGGUGUUCCUCUGUUGAUCAUUGCCUUUCUGUCAAUUAAUGUCAUUCAUUGUCAGUCUUUUAAUGUUUCAGAAAAGUUGUUUGGUUGAACUUGUUAUUUUCUUCCUUGUGUUCCCCCUUUGAACCAACAAGGAAGGAAAAAAAACUCUGUUCUCUGAUUGGUCACACUCUUUGAAAGUCCUCAUUUGCAAAAUAGACAAUUUGACCAAUAGUCAAACAAAUAAAUUGCAUCUAAAAUACAGAAAUAACAAUUUAUGAAAUAAAUAAAGAUUAAAACCUGACCUCACUGUGAUUGAAUUCAAAUUGUCCACUUUGAGCUCCACACUGAGCUGUGUAUUAUGUUCCUCACUGAACCCAUAAAGAACACAGCAGCUCCACUGAUAUGAGGGAAACUGAUCUAUUAUAGCAUGUUGGUACAGUUUCUGAUGUGCUACAUUAAUCCUGCUGCACGGUGGACUUGAGUGUUUUAUCACCACAUGACAGAAGUGCAAUCAGAGGAAACUUGAGUGAAAUGACACAGAUAUUAUAAUGGAGUCUGGUCAUGUAAAGAUCAAUAUUAAAACAAAGCCAAACAUGUUUGUGUGAAUGCGCAGUGGGAACAGAUUUGACCUGAAACUGAUGUAACUGUGCUGACGGAUGAUUUUCUUUGGACUCUGAAACAAACGUUUUGUCUCCUCACACAAACAGCUCUUUGUUUGACUAUGAAGGUGGAGUUUUGAAUGGCUGCUGUGCAUCACUGCUCCUAAAGCAGUUUAAGAUGAACCACUGAGACAAGUCUGUGCAGUCUGUCUGACAGUGAGAUGAGCCAUGAUGAUGAUGUUUCUGACUCCACUGCUGACCACGCUGCUGUUCGGACUUCAAGGAUCAGGUGCCAGUCCAUCUGUGACUCAGUCUCCUGCAUCAAAGGCUGUCAGUGUUGGAGAGACGGUCUCUCUGAGCUGUACAGCCAGUAGAGGAGCUGAUGAUGAUCUCAGCUGGUACCUGCAGAAACCUGGACAGCCUCCCAAACUGCUGUUUUACAAAAUAAGCAGCCGUGAGACUGGUACUCCGAGUCGGUUCAGCAGCAGCGGAUCUGAACCUGAAUUCACUCUGACCAUCAGUGGAGUUCAGGCUGAGGAUGCAGCAGAUUACUACUGUAUGGGAGUGUAUGUUGGUGCGUCACACAGUGAUUUGUAGCUGUACAAAAACCUCCCUCAGUCAGACUGCAGAGACACUGAGCUGUUACAGCACGAAGCGACUGCAGCUGCUGAAGAGGAAGAGACUCUGACACAGACCACUGAACACAGAGCUGACAGUCACCUCACCAAGCACAAACUACACACUCACAUUAAUAAAUUGAUUAGAAACAUGGGUAAAG